AUGUGGCAGAGUCCAGCCAGCCGACACAGCCCUUGGAUCAUCCCAGUCUUGCAAAGUGGCGCAGGGCUGGCAGGGCAGCGUGAGGAGCCAAAUGUGCAGCUCCCCCUUAAAAAUGUGCCCCAGCAUCCCCCCCCCACUACGCCUCGUCUUCAUAAAAACUUCAAACAACUGUCAUAAUUCCAUUACAAUCAUUUGCUCUUUAAAAGCAAGGCAGGAUGAGAAUAAAGUUUAAAAAUGCCUCCCAGUUUGAGGCAGCAUAAUUUAUUUUGCCUAUUCCUCUGCCGUCAUACCUGAGACAUGCAUAACUUGGAUGUGAAUAGACCCUAUAAAAGGGAAAGCAGAGUGUGACACAGGCCUUUAAGUAACACACAAGGCAGCUGCCCACCAAGCCAGAUAUUGCUACAAAGCACACACCAUAAAGGUAAAGGGACCCCUGAUCAUUAGGUCCAGACAUGACCGACUCUAGGGUUGCGACGCUCAUCUCGCUUUAUCAGCCGAGGGAGCCGGUGUACAGCUUCCGAGUCAUGACUAAGCAACUUCUGACGAACCAGAGCAGUGCACAGAAAUGCCGUUUACCUUCCCGCCAGAGCGGUACCUAUUUAUCUACUUGCACUUUGACAUGCUUUUGAACUGCUAGGUUGGCAGGAGGGCCAGUGUGGUGUAGUGGUUAAGAGCGGUAGUCUCGUAAUCUGGGGAACCGGGUUCGCGUCUCCGCUCCUCCACAUGCAGCUGCUGGGUGACCUUGGGCCAGUCACACUUCUUUGAAGUCUCUCAGCCCCACUCACCUCACAGAGUGUUUGUUGUGGGGGAGGAAGGGAAAGGAGAAUGUUAGCCGCUUUGAGACUCCUGAAGGGGAAUGAAAGGCGGGAUAUCAAAUCCAAACUCUUCUUCUUCUUCUUCAGGGACCAAACAACGGGAGAUCACCCCGUCAUGGGGAUUCGAACCACCGACCUUCUGAUCGGCAAGACCUAGGCUCUGUGGUUUAACCCACAGCGCCACCCGUGUCCCUCACCACCUAGCAAUAGGUCACUGCCAGAGGCAGCGUGUCUCUGAAUUGCUAAAAAUUGCAGGUGGGUAGAGUGUUGUUGUGUUCAGGUACUACUUGGAGGGUUCCUCCUGGCAUCUGGUUGGCCACUGAGGACAGGAUGGGCUAGAUGGGUCAUUUGGCUAGUCUAGAUGGGUCAUUUGCCGGAUCCAGUAGGGCUUAUGUGCUAUGCCACUGAGCUAUGGGCCCACCUCCCCAUUGUUAUGUUACAAACUGGGUGCUGCAAACUUGGGCAGAGCACAAGACAAUUCUUCUGGGAUAUACCUUGCCUUCUACUGCUGACCUGCAGCCACAUCACAUGCAUACAAAAGUAUGCAUACAGUUGUAACUUUACACUGCAAGCCUAUAUUUGUCUAUUCAGAAAAAAGCCCCACUGAAUUUAAUGGGACCUACUUCUUACCAAGUUUCCUUAGGAUUGCAGCCUUAACCAGAAUUGUGGUCACAUUUCAUGUUAGCUAGCAAAUAUGUUUCAAAAGGAAUCAAUAAAAAAUAGACUAAGAGAAAAUAUAAAUAUAUAAUAGGCAAAAACUACGUUUUUUAUCCAUCUCAUGCCAGGACUAACAAUUGCUUUGGGGGAAAAGGGGGAAAUGUUACAGACACAACUGAACUGCAUGUUCAAUUUCCUGCAUGUUUCAUCGUAAUUUUGCAGAGCAAAUGACUAGAUGUGCAUUAACAACAGCUUCUGAAACCAGAAACUCCCCAAAAUGAUUAGAUGAAUGGAUGUCAGGGAGUUGAUCCUCCUCUGUUGGGCCUUUCUUUCCUGUCGCCUGCUGAGAGUCUUAUGCUUAUCAUGUGAAUUUUUUUUCUGGAAAGUUUCAAAACUUGUAUUGUAAGAGAGAACCUCGUGCUUGUAAACUAAUGCAUGGAUGAAUUCACAACAUUUCAAUAAGUGGGUUUUAAAAACAUCUCUAUUAUAGCCAAUUGUGUGAAAGUGAAUUAAAUAGAAAACAAAAAUUUUGGAUAGCGUUCUCUCUUUUCUCUCUCAAAAGUUCUGCUUAAAAUCUUUGCCAGGAAGUAAUCAAAAUGUGUCUAUUGUGGGGUUAUAUUAUUUUCCUAUUGUUAUUUAGAGUACGGUGUGGUCCACCAGAUAUUGUUGGAUUCCCAACUCUCAUCAGCUCCAGCCAGCAUGGCCAAUGCUGAUGAAUGAUACGAGUUGUGGUCCCAGCAACAUUUGGCAUGCCACGGAUACCCAAACCCUCGCUUUAGAGCUAAGACUGGAUUAAGGACUUGUGCCGAAUGAAGAAUGAUAGGGGUUCCUAUCUUCUGCUUCGUAAAUGAGCCUCCUUCAGCUUCAUGGGGAAAGAGGAAGGAGGAGCUCACAGCUGCCGUUCACUUUUUCAUAUUUCUCUCUGGCUGAAGCCCAGACAUGCUGGAUGGCUGGGAGUCUCAAUGGCACCUCUCUGGAGGCUUCACCUGAGGCAGAAACCCUGUCUAGACCCACCCCUCAGCUAUGGCUGUGCAUUAGGUGUGGGGAGAUGGGCUCCACUGAGGGUAUAGACUAGGCUGAUCUUGGAAGUCAGGCCCUUUAGCUGUUAGCUUUUGCCAGCAAGGGACAAGCAUAAAGCAAGUGAUGCAGCAGAGCCUGUGCCCAGCAUAAAUGCUUACAAAACUCCAAAUUGAUUUUCUUUCAGAAGGAGCCAGGAAAUGGCCUUGGAUAUAUUUGCAAGGGAGAAACAGCAGUAGAUGUUAAGCUCCGCCACCACCUGCCUACUGAAUGUCCACCCUCUACAUUAACCAUCAUUCAUGUGUUGUGAGGGGGACACACACACAUUUUUGCUAGUAUAACAAUUCUGUCUUUAUGUGGAAAACCGUGAGUCACUGCCAUUGUAUUGUAUAAAAUAAUAUUCUUUUAGGAGAUGACUGCACUUGCACAUUUCAUUUUACUUGACAUAUAUACUUUACUUUAUAUAAGUAGCUGCUAAUACAAAAUUGAUCCUGAUACUUGAUAUCUGUACUGUUCGUACCAUCCCUUCAGAGGGUUUAAGCUACUGUUGUUUCCUACUGGUCUUACACCUGCAUUUGAAACACUGUGGUUAUCCUGUAUUCUCAUGAAAAACAGAGGUUACUGUCUUGGAUGGGAAACAAACAUGCUAGUGAACUGCCUCCACUGUUACUGCCAGAAGUUGUUCUACCAUCUCAAUCAUCCCAGGUGAAAGGACUGCAAAUUACUGUUGGAUUCGCCACAGUAAUUGAAUGCCAAUUACCACUGGUUGGGUGUGAAUCUUAAAGCAGCUGGAGCUCCAUCCAGUUCCAGUUCUCAUAACAUUAGCAGCAAAUACGCUCUCAGACUGAAUGCCAACACAACACAACACAAGCAGGAGCUAGGUGUUUAAAGAAGCAUUACAACCUUGUAAAUCCCUGCGGCACUCUCUCAGAGGCUGUCUCUUCUGCCUCCCAUCAUGGAAAAAGCAGGGAAGGAGUAAAUUUUACAUGUCAAGGUUUCCUCUUUUCAUCACAACAAAUGGCAGGAUAACCCAACAAGCUUUCCCCCAAAAUUCUCAAGCACCUCCAUUUCUCAUUAUCCCACUAACCAUGUCUGAUGCAUCGUGAUGUGGGUCAGACAAGCGUGCUUUACAACUGGAUAUGAAAAACUGGUAUCAGCAUCCUCUCCCCCCCCCCCCCGCCCCUGGAAAGUGGCUCUAAUAUUAGACUAGGAAGCAAUUACCUUGAGACAGUGCUUCAGGGGAUGUGCAUUUAGCCAGGGAAAGGAUCAGAUGCUCGCCAGUACUUCUCUGCUGUCAGGUUCUCUCAGGAGAGACGACAUAGCAAUGUGCAGGUGGUUAGUCAGGCUGAUCUCACGGGUAAGAGUAAAAUGCACAGGGGAAAUGAGGACCACAGAAGGCUGGUGCUGUGCCAAUAGGUGCAUCAAAGGCAUUCCAAUUAAUGUAUUUGACUCCAAGCAUUCCCACAGCAUAACUGGGCAGUUUAAUUAGCAAUUCAAUCCCUAGAAGCAUGUGCCACUAGGACUUAUUUUAUGGUAAGAAUGCUGAGGGUUGCCACAACUGGCAUGUGACAUGCAACUUCCAAGCAAGCCUGAGCCUCUGCACUUUUAAAGAAACUAAACAAUGUUUAUAUUGAUAUAUCAGGUAUAUCAGGACUGUGUAUAAUUCAUCUUUUUUCCCUUUUUCGUUUUAAAAAGAAUUGAGCCAACAUUCUCUCUUAUUUACGGACGGAC